rnacentral:rRNA from 1 species
AGGGCACCACCAGGAGUGGAGCCUGCGGCUUAAUUUGACUCAACACGGGAAAACUCACCCGGCCCGGACACUGGAAGGAUUGACAGAUUGAGAGCUCUUUCUUGAUUCAGUGGGUGGUGGUGCAUGGCCGUUCUUAGUUGGUGGAGUGAUUUGUCUGGUUAAUUCCGAUAACGAACGAGACUCUAGCCUACUAAAUAGAUCGUCGGCUUACAAACGCCGGCGAGACUUCUUAGAGGGACAGGCGGUGAUUCAACCGCACGAAACAGAGCAAUAACAGGUCUGUGAUGCCCUUAGAUGUCCGGGGCCGCACGCGCGCUACACUGAAGUGAUCAGCGUGCUUUUUCAACCUACUCUGUCAAGAGUGGGGAACCCAAUGAACCUUCCUCGUGAUUGGGAUAGGGGAUUGUAAUUAUUCCCCUUGAACGAGGAAUUCCCAGUAAGCGCGAGUCAUAAGCUCGCGUUGAUUACGUCCCUGCCCUUUGUACACACCGCCCGUCGCUACUACCGAUUGAAUGAUUU